rnacentral:rRNA from 1 species
CGGGGGGGGCAAGCGUUGUUCGGAAUUACUGGGCGUAAAGGGCUCGUAGGCGGCCAACUAAGUCAAACGUGAAAUCCCUCGGCUUAACCGGGGAACUGCGCUUGAUACUGGAUGGCUUGAGAUUGGGAGAGGGAUGCGGAAUUCCAGGUGUAGCGGUGAAAUGCGUAGAUAUCUGGAGGAACACCGGUGGCGAAGGCGGCAUCCUGGACCAACACUGACGCUGAGUGAGCGAAAGCCAGGGGAGCAAACGGGAUUAGAUACCCCGGUAGUCCUGGCCCUAAACGAUGAGUGCUUGGUGUGGCGGGUAUCGAUCCCUGCCGUGCCGAAGCUAACGCAUUAAGCAUUCCGCCUGGGGAGUACGGUCGCAAGGCUG